ACGGAGGGGGCUAGCGUUGUUCGGAAUUACUGGGCGUAAAGCGCACGUAGGCGGCUUUGUAAGUUAGAGGUGAAAGCCCGGAGCUCAACUCCGGAAUUGCCUUUAAGACUGCAUCGCUCGAAUCAUGGAGAGGUGAGUGGAAUUCCGAGUGUAGAGGUGAAAUUCGUAGAUAUUCGGAAGAACACCAGUGGCGAAGGCGGCUUGCCAGAACGCGCUCGACGGUGAGGGAUGAAAGCUGGGGGAGCAAACCGGA
rnacentral:rRNA from 1 species